UCGACAGUAGAGCGGGCGUUUCAGUGCGGAUGGGCUAGGCCCAUACUGUCCUCGGGCCGAGGAAAGCAAUCCCAUCCACCCAAACCAGCUAGGGUCGGGGCUGCUCCAAGUCGGCUGCCGCGGCAUGUCAGCCCACGCGCCGGCGAUCGAUGAGGGUCUCCUCCACAGGUACUCUCAUGAGUGCGGCGAUGGUGGCGGCGGCAUGGACAAUACCGUACGAGGAGUGAGAGACCCGGCAGAUGUCGUGGAGUGGAAAGCCAAGUACGAGAAGACCUACAAAGACGUCGGCGAGGAGGGGUGCCGGUACUUUUUUACUUUUGGUAUAUAGGUUUGCCGGUGCAUUGUCACGGAACUAAGGGCCUCAUCUUUUCGCUUAUACUUAUGCUUAUCAAUCAAAUUUUGAAUUUUCAACUUUGAAUUUGAAGCUCAUUUUGAGGGUUUUUUCAUCGAAAUUUAUUUUUCAGCCUUUGCAUUUAGAUCAUUAAGAACACCUAUAUAAAAGUUUUAUUCACAAAAUACUAUUCGUUUGUAAAUAUGACGUAUCGCUUAUUCCACGAAUAAGCGAAAAGGUGGGUCUCUGAAACAAAGUAGAGAGAGUCUGGAGGUAGCGCCAUCCCUGGAGAUGAAGCAAACAUGUGGGUACUCACUUGUGUUUUUUGCCGGAGAAUUUUACAACAAAUAAAAAUGUUGCUAAUGUAAUAUGGUAAAUUUUAGAUGAGAAUGUAAUCAUUUCCAACCUAUGAUAAAGAAAGAUUGUCUUCUCAUGUGUGUGUGUUUUCGGCUAUUUUGCUUUGUCCAAUUGGUCAAACGUCCCGUUACCGGGAAAAAUAUGUUGCGUACCAUAUAUGUACCGUUCGAUUGGAAAAUAGACGUCUGAGAUUCGUUCACGUCACCAUGAGUAAAAAUUAGAGGCCCUAAAAAUUAAGGACCAAAAACUAGGGAGUAGAAAUUGAAAAGAUGAAGUAAAUAACACAAUCAGCUGCUAAAAUAGAUUACAACGAGCUGAGCACGUAACGUAGCUGAUCCAUUCAGAUCGACCUCCAUUACGAGUUUCAGAAUAAGAUGACUGGUACCGUGUGUUUCUCCCAUUGUUUCACACUUUUAUAUCCCUGCAAUUAGAACAGGUCGAUUGCAGUCACAGGGAAUUUGAUCUGCAAGACAAAAGGAAAGGAUGUAUUGGUACUUCACUACUUGAAAUCGUCCCAAUUAGGAUUGUCUCUGAAGAUCAACAAUGCAGCAGCAAAGCCAUCUCCGCAACUGCCUUCGGUAAGUUCUUUGGGCCAAGCAUCACAGGUCAGCUUAUUCCUAC